rnacentral:rRNA from 1 species
AUGAUGCUGUGUUUGUGGUCAUGGACAGAUUCUCUAAAAUGGCUCAUUUCAUGCCAUGUCGCAAGACAACAGAUGCUCAUCAUGUGGCUAACCUAUUCUUUCGAGAAGUGGUCAGACUUCAUGGAGUUCCAAGGUCCAUCGUCUCAAACCGCGAUAGCAAGUUUCUUGCUGCAUUUUGGCUCACUUUGUGGAAGCAAGUCAACACUGCAUUCAGAUUUUCUAGCACUGCCUAUCCACAAACAGAUGGACAAAAUGGAAGCGGUGAACAAUUUUUUGGGUAAUCCUACAAUAACUCUUUUUUCAUUGUCUACGAUGAAGUUCCAUCACACGUGGUGGACCUCGUGA